rnacentral:rRNA from 1 species
CCCUUAGAUGUUCUGGGCCGCACGCGCGCUACACUGUUCGACGCAGCGAGUCUUAACCUUGACCGAAAGGUUUGGGUAAUCUUCAGCAAAGUCGAACGUGAUGGGGAUCGAUCAUUGCAAUUAUUGAUCGUGAACGAGGAAUUCCUAGUAAGUGCAAGUCAUCAGCUUGCGCUGAUUACGUCCCUGCCCUUUGUACACACCGCCCGUCGCUACUACCGAUUGAAUGGUUUAGUGAGAUCUCUGGAUUGACGCUGGCUAGGGGGCGACCCUUGGCCAGGCUGUCGAGAAACUGCUCAAACUUGAUCAUCUAGAGGAAGGUGAAGUCGUAACA